GCCUUCGUGGUGUAAUGGUCAGCACACUCGACGCGUGUUCGAGGUCUGAGGUUCGAGUCCCGGCGAGGGCA
rnacentral:tRNA from 1 species